rnacentral:rRNA from 1 species
UACGUAGGUGGCAAGCGUUGUCCGGAUUUAUUGGGUUUAAAGGGUGCGUAGGCGGUUUCAUAAGUCAGUGGUGAAAUACGGCAGCUCAACUGUCGAGGUGCCAUUGAUACUGCGGAACUUGAGUGUUGAUGAGGCAGGCGGAAUUGACGGUGUAGCGGUGAAAUGCUUAGAUAUCGUCAAGAACACCGAUAGCGAAGGCAGCUUGCCAAGCAACAACUGACGCUCAGGCACGAAAGUGCGGGGAUCAAACAGG